UUUCCUCUCAAAUUUAUUUAUACUUUAAUUUAGGUUUUAUUUUAUUAAAAAAAGAAGGUCUCCCACUCCUCCUUCUUUUUCCCUCGCUCUCUUCCUCCCUCUCUCUUUUCCUCCCUCACAUUACCCGUACAACACCCUUCCCCUUUGCGUGUUGUUGCAGCUCGACCGACACACUCACGACCUGUAUCAAUUGACAGCAAUACAACAACCACCAGCGAGAUAUGACGACGGUGCUUGUCUGAUGACACGUGCAGUACAUUCAACUAUCUUCACGUCCGAUGCAACCUACAACCACGAACGGCGUUUACGAAGACCAACCCACGACGUUGUGAUAUCUAACCAUGAAGCAGCUACCCACUCAACAUAAGGCAUACCAACAUUAGCAUUUUCCCCUACUCAGUGUGUUUUGACACUUACCCAUUGAAUUUCAACAACAGAUUUGAAAUACCCACUUCCUAAUGCCUCCAAAUAUGUAAGAUUGAGUGAGUUCAGACACCAACAAACGAGGUUUUGGGCCGCUUUGGGUCUGAUCCAGUGGGUAUAUCACUCUAAAUCCCUUUUUGAAAUAUUUUAAGGUUUUUUAUAUUGGUCUCUAAUGUUUGGAAGCUUUUAAUUGGAGAUUUGGAACGGUUUCAUGGUUAUUUGAACACCUUUCAGCAUGGACCCAAGCCUAUUUUGUCUAGGUUUGAUUUGAAGCGUUUGGAUUGAGGUUUCAGGUCGUUGUAGGUAAGAUUAUUCAUUCUGAACACUAUUCGAGUUUUCGAUUAACGUUUUGAACUAAGUUCUAUCUAACCUUGGGAACUUGAAUUUAUACUUUUAGGAGUGUCUUAAUGAAGUGUAUGGUGAGGAUGGCAUAUUUCUCUCAAAAUGUAGUGUAGGGUGAUGGUGGGGAUUUAUGUUGUAAUUAUGUAUAUUCAUCUCAUAUUCAACCAUCAAUUUUCAUGGACCAAAUCCAUGUGCAUGUUUGGUAUUCCCAUUUUAUCUUCAGAUUUGGUGGUAUUCAACUUCUUUUUUACGUGAUGUUUCAUUGAGUUAUAAUUUUGGUCUAAUAUUGUGUAUUUUUUCAAUUUGUUUAUUCUUUUUUUUUUUUCUUUAUAGUUUAUGGUUUCAGACGUAUCCUUAAAAAUGUACAUUCGUAUGUGUACAUCCCCAAAUUUAAGAUUGAUUAUUUUGAAUUUGAAGCACCCACAUUGAGGUCUUGAUUGUCGACUUUUCGAGUGAUUCAUUCGGUGCGAAUACCAUUUUGGCUAGGUGUUUUUGUAUGGGGCUUAGGUGAUUUCUUGGACAAACGUAUUGGGAGAGGAAUUGCUUUUUGUGAGCACGAAGGUAAAUUAUAUGUUAGUGAUAGAUAGUUCCAUUGUAUAUGUGUUGUCUGUGUUUGAAAGUUUGCUUGACUAAAUAUUAAUUUGAGACCCUGUUUCACAAAGGUAAAUUAUAUGUUGGUGAAACAAACUUUGCAGGUAUAUUUGUCAUCAUUAUUAUAGCAGUUCCUUUACUCUAAUAUGUACAAUAAGCAUGUGAAUCUGUCAUUGACUUGACCCCCUUGUGAUUAUGAGUUAUUUUCUCAUACAUCAGUUUUAAGAUUUUAUAAUAUAUUUUUAAACAUGUGUAAAAUUUAAUAUUGGUUAGCUUGAGUUCAUAAACAUGUCCAAGAUUCAUAUAUAUUAUUUUGCAUGGAUGUUCCUUGUGUUGAUUUUAAUAGGUAAAACACACGGAAAUGCUAUUAUGUGACUUGGAGGAUAUGAGCAUGUUGUGGAGUUGUUUGAAUAUACGUAUGGUUAAUAUUGAAGAGCAUGUUAUCGUUUAUGUGGUUUUAUAUAAAGCAUGUUUAGAGGAACAUCAAUGACCUUGUUUUUAGAAAGUGUAAGAUGCUACUUUGUGAGUUUGUGUAAAGAGGAAGUCAAGUGGGUGUGGGGGGCCUUGGGUGAAUUUUGGUUAUUUUGAAUAUUUGGAAUUUGAAACUGUUUUAAAUUUAAGUUGAUUCUUAAUUUGUUUUUUCUUUUUUAGUUGAAAACUUGUAAUAGGUAUUAGUUUAGUUUGCUUUAGUUGUCAUUGAAUGUAGUUGGUUAGUUUUGAUCAAGUUUUGUUGGAUUUAUUUUAUGAAGUGUUAAAUAUUCGUAUUUUGGUAAUUUUGAUAGUUCUUUGAUGUACAUGAGUGAAUGACUAAUUUCUCUCUUGACUGUCAGACUUAGUUUCAAUCUUCAUCUAUGCGGCUAUCAAUUCUCAAGGUAGAAAGAUAUACAUUUUCUAUCUUUGCAAAACUCAUGUCUACUUUUGAACUUUUUAGGACUUAGAAAUUGGGUCUAUAUUUUUCUUAUGGGUUGUCUUCCAUUUAUUCAACUAUUGAGCUUUCUUGUUUUGCAAAUGCAAUAAAUGAGUAAAGAUUUGGUAUCGCAAUCUUUUUAUGCUUUUCCUUAGGGAACUCUAGAUCCAACACAUUAUGUAUUUGAGCUUUGUGGGUUUUUUUUUCUUUAUUUAUAUCUCAAAUAGAGACAUUUUUUUUCUUCUUUAGAUGUCAAACUAUAGUUUUGAUCUUUCAAAAAUUUAUAUCUUGUGAAAGGUGGUUAGUUGUAGGUUUGGACUAAUUCGAACCCUCUAAAGUAGACAACCAGCUCUCUCGAACUUAUCGAGCUCUAUGUAUAUCAAUAUCAAUGUAACUUGCUGAUAGGUUACUUAGUUAAACAAUUUAUCAUUUUCUUUGUUGUGAAUUAGUUAGUUUUUGUUUAUUGUUAUAUACAUACAAGCAAUUAAGAUUUUAUUUUGUGCAUGCACAGGUAAACGAGAAAUACUAUUCAUUUGCACAUGUGCAAGCAAUAUAUAUAUAUAUAAUGAAAAAACGAUGAAAAACAUAUAAUAUCGAAUAAUUACUGACAAAAAGUAGGUGAAACCCGACAUUGAAGAUAAUGUUCAAUGUCAGUUCGAAAUCGACAUUGAAAACAGUAUUCAAUGUCGGUUGAAAACUGACAUUGAAGAUAACUGGCAUUGACAUCUUGGUCAUCUAUAAUGUCGUUUUGAAACCGACAUUAAAGACAACAGACAUGAAAGACCUUUUAUAGUACGAUCUUUAAUGUUAGUUGCCGAUCGACAUUGUACCCCUAUAAUGUCAAUUUUAAACCAACAUUAAAGCUUAGUUUUGUAGUAGUGAUUAGAUUUAAUGCCAUGAGAAAUUAUUGUAUAUUUAUCUAUGGGCCAUUUGUCUUUAUUGCUUAUAUUUUGACAUUUUGGUCAAUUAGUUGCUCUAUCCUUGUAUUUUUCUCGAAAAUAAGUUUUGAGCAAGAAUUUUGAGUCUUGCAAGAUAUUAUCAUUCUUUUGAUGAUUAAUAUAUGUUGUUUAUACUCUUGGAUGAAAUUGAUUAGAGUUUUUAUUAAAUGUCUUUUAAGCAUGAAGUUAUACAUAUUCUAUUACUUACAUUGUUGAAGAAUUGGUAAAUUAUUUUCCAUAUGGAGAAUUAUGUACUUUUAUAUAUGAAUUUCAUAUUUGAAUGAAAUUGAUUUUCUCUUAUUGCUAUAUUGUUUUGUGUCCCUUUUAUGUAUAUUGGUAAUUGGAUAUUAUUUGACCCCAUAGUAACAACAAAUAGUGGGCCUUGUCGACCAUCUAUGAAUUGAUCGGAUUAACCAACCAAAGUUAUUUUGAGUAAAAAUUUGUUUUGAAAAUUUAUUUGAUAUUUCUACCAUCAAGUUGAAUUAUGUGCUAAAUGUCUUUUUGUCCCUUAUUAAGAGGGAAUGCUCAAUUGAUUUCAAAAGGGGGAAAUUUGUGAAAUUGGUCAUAGCUAGAAUCACUGCAAAAAAAAGAAAAAAAAAAAAAAAAGCCUAUUUCGACCAUCUUUUAUUCAAGAAUAUAAAAAACCUUUGAAAAAUGUUACAUUAAUUAGAGGGAUUUAAAAGCCUUUGAAAAAUAUUUAGUCUUUAUCAAAGAUUUUUGACAACUCUUUGAGAAAAAUAUUAUAUUUAUCAUAGGACAUUAAAGAAAACCUAUGAAAAUUAUCUCUUUCAUCAAAGGUUAUUGAAAACCUUUGAGAAAGAUAUUAUAUUCACCAGAGGAGUUUAAAAAACCUUUGAAAAUUAUCUACUCUUUAUCGAAUGUUAUUGAAAACCUUUGAGAAAGAUAUUAUAUUUAUCAAAUUCUUUUAAAAAAACCUUUGAAAAUUAUCCACACUUUAUUGAAGAUUAUUGAAAAGCAUUAAAAAAGAUAUUAUAUUUGUCAAAGAAA